rnacentral:rRNA from 1 species
UGGGGAAUUUUGGACAAUGGGGGAAACCCUGAUCCAGCCAUCCCGCGUGUGCGAUGAAGGCCUUCGGGUUGUAAAGCACUUUUGGCAGGAAAGAAACGUCAUGGGUUAAUACCCCGUGAAACUGACGGUACCUGCAGAAUAAGCACCGGCUAACUACGUGCCAGCAGCCGCGGUAAUACGUAGGGUGCAAGCGUUAAUCGGAAUUACUGGGCGUAAAGCGUGCGCAGGCGGUUCGGAAAGAAAGAUGUGAAAUCCCAGAGCUCAACUUUGGAACUGCAUUUUUAACUACCGGGCUAGGGUGUGUCAGAGGGAGGUGGAAUUCCGCGUGUAGCAGUGAAAUGCGUAGAUAUGCGGAGGAACACCGAUGGCGAAGGCAACCUCCUGGGAUAACACUGACACUCAUGCACGAAAGCGUGGGGAGCAAACAGG